UUGUUAAAACUUGAAAAUUUACUUCAAAUGAUUUUGAUGUGUAUGACCUGUCAUGUAUCGGAUAAUCAAUUAGAGCGAUUGCAAAAGAUGCAUGUUUACAACUUUGAUUCAAGGACAUACCUGAAAAGUGUAUCACUCGAAAUAUCAAUUAACUGACAUUUGAUACAACAAAGUGCCGAUGAAUAAUGAAACUGAUCUACAAAAAAGAACCUCAACAAAGUGCUAAUUAAUGUCAAGAAAAUGAGCAAAAACAUCAAAACUACACAAGACUUUUGGAAAUUCCGGGUAUUGGACAAUCAUUUCCUCCAUGUAUCUACCACCAAUGAUCAGAUCCUUUGUACUGGCCACAGACCUAAAUCACUAUCAGGAAUAGAACAGACCAACUAAUAUUAAAACAAAACAAAACAGUAGUAUGUAGACAGAUUCCAGACACAGACAACAGUUUUCUAAGACGUACAUCCCUACUUACAAUCCACUUCAAAUCACUCUUGGAGUUGUCCAAUAUUUAUCCAGUUGUGCUCUGCAAGACCAAACAAGUCCUCGUGUCGGUUUCAGUUCAUCUCUAAUUGUACAAUGCAAACAUUACUAUUCUACAUGUAGAUCACAAAUUUAAGUUUAGAUUUGUGCUACACCAUGUUAUGAACAACAGCUGCAAUAUUUCAAUCACUCCUGUUGUAUUUGAACAAUAAGACCAUGUGUUUUCAUUAUUUGGUCUCAGUUUUCAUUCAAGCUGGACUACAACAAAAUGUUUUAGCUGUAUGCUGUUAUUCAUACCAUUCACUUAAAUUAUGUGCUUUAUAUUGUGUAAGUGUAUAUAAAAUUUAUUUAUUGAUAAGAUUGACAUUUUCCU